rnacentral:lncRNA from 1 species
GGGGUAUAUGAAAUUCUAAGGGUUUGAUAUUAGGUGAUCCCCAACAGAUUACUUGAAAACGAUCUCAUAUCUCUUUACCGGCAUCAAGAAUCAAGAUAUUAAUAUACUAUAUAAUCUAAAAAUAUAUCAUAAGUAAUAUAUUAAAUUUCUUAGGAACUUUAUAUUGUUAGAAUUAUAAUUAAGCAUAUGAUAUUUCAAGUCAGUUUGGGUUAAAUUUAAGAUUAGGUUUCAGGCAAUAAGAAUCAAAACAGGUAACUUUUAAACCAUAGAAGUUCUUAAACAAAUAUCCCUUAUAUCAAAGUUAGUGAAAAAGAGUUUAAGAAUCUAUAACAUCAAACUAUUUCUCAAAACACAUUUCUUCGACAAAAUUAUCAUAUGUAAUACAUAAAGAUAGGUGCUCAAAAAACUUUCAAAACUUUAAAGUUUUUUUUUCAAAAAAACCACCCGUUUGACCCGAACUUAUUUUGCUCCAAACCCAUAUUGACCCGAACUUAAUUAAUAAUUUAGCCCUAUAAUAAUAAGUUGGUUAGCCUUACUUGUUUCAACUCAUAUAGGAAAAAUAAUUUUAUUUGACCCAAACAUUUAUCCGACCCACCCGUUUUGCUAACUUUAGCAAUCAGUAGACUUAUUUUCAUGUAAUAACUAUAAAGAAUAGGAAGCCACCUCAGGAUCAAUGUUGAAAUCUUUAACAGCACUAUCCCUUGCAGAUGAAGACAUUGAGCCAUCAUGUCUCCUAUAUUCAAUACCAUACUCAUUAAUGGUGAAGGGCUGCCAACAAAAGCAAUUGUAAAAAUUCAUUAAGCAUUUAAAGAUAUAUUUGUAGGACCCAUCUAUCAUAUUGAAUUGCAAAAAAUUGAGUGGGCCCUACCACUAUUAUCACCAUCGACCUGAAAUUCCGGCGCCAUCAUCUCCAUCAUCAGCCACCAACCCAGAUAUUUAGUACCUAGCCCAAGCAAGUUGUCCCUGUUAUGAAAGCUUGACAUGUUCAACGCGGAUGCCAUCUGUGUUACUUUUGUUCUCAAAUUUGCAAGCAUAUGUCUGUGUCUGUUCAUCUCUAUCCCCGUUCUGAAAAUAUUAAAAAUAGGUUGAUUGAUAGUUUUGUUACCACUUUAAAAAAUUUAGAAAGACAAAAGAAGGAUAAUAACGCUCUCUUAACUACAACUCACAAACUGAGCUAAAUACAUACAGAGGCUGUUUUGCGGGAAGCUUUGUCAGAAGAGACUGCAAACUAUCAAGUCUAGUUCCCAAUAUCGUAAUCUUCCUCCGAAUCGCAGACGAAUGACGCUGAGCUUCCGACCCUGCUACAAACGAACUCCUCUCUGAUAUCAUACCAGUAAUGUCAUACCAGUAAUGUCAUCAGCAAGUUUAGACGCUUAAUUAUACUCCCUCGUCCACGAAUCCGCAGAAGACGCCAUUUAUCUGAAACAUAAACAAUAAAAAACUAACACAUUAACCGCCAGCCACCGUUAUACUUAAUUGCAUCCAAAUAGGGCUCACAAACAUCCAUAAAUAUCUAAAACCGCAGCGAAAAUCAUCAGGUGGUGAUGGUGGGAAAGAAGACUCAUCGGCAAAAAAAAGGAAAUAGUCGUGAGUGUAACUAAAAUUACGUAGCAUUUUCGGACCUUUUGCUGACAUCAUGUUCCUAAAAUUCUACCUACACAACAGAUACAUAUCCCAAAUACUGAAUCAAAUUAUUCGGAAAACAUAAUCUACACAGAUUGCUUUCAAAAACCAUAACAAUAUCGCAAAUCAUCAAAAGAGCACCAGAUCUACCUACCGAGGUUAUGAAACAUAAAAGUAAUCAAACCUUGAAGACGUAAAAUUGAUGCUUUAACGGAGGGAGGCACACUUGUUCUACUUGGCCGGUGUUCUUCAUGCUAUACUAUAACAAUUUUUAAAAGAUUCAAUGCAAGAGAUUUUAUUAGAUUUUGAUUAAAAACUCAUACCUACAGUGGAUUUGAGACCAAAUCAACUCAUGAUCUACGGAUCAGAGACUAUCGCCGCUAACAAACGCUAUUAACGGUCUUCUUAAUAAACGGAAAACAUCAACAACCAUUGCCGCCACCAUUCACAAGAACCCUAAAACACAGAUAAAUGGAUAUAAAUAUAUCAAACCUUAUAACAUAUCAAAAUCAACAGUAUACCUCGGAUGUAAGUCAAUUCUUUAAGAAAAGCUUCACAACUUCAUGAGUUAGAACAACAUGCCUACAAAUCACAAAUACAAAGUAAUUAUAAAAAAAUAUUCAAAAUAUUAAUAACUAAACAGAUGGAUUACAGGCAAAAAACAACUAUCAAACUAAUAUUAAUAAAGAAAAAAAUGAAAAACUACUACCUGUGAUCAAAUGUAUCAUCAAAAUACUUCUCGAAGUACUUGAUCUUGCCCAUAGUCGAACAAAAAAAAAAUGACAAAACGAUAAACAUACCUUUGAUUUCUUCAAUAUUUGGUAUUGUUCUUCAAAAUCAACAAAUAAGAAAUUGGAGUGCUUACCUUUGAUUAUGUGGAUUGUUCUUGAUGAUAUGCAAGCAUCGUUCUUGAGCAUUUGCAACAAUGAUUGAUAUGAGAGAAGUGGAGAAGAUUCGGCUAUCUAUCAUAAAAUAAUAUCAUUUAAGUUUAACCUAAUCGAUGAAACACGCUGAUUGUUUCGAAUCAAAAUUUUACAAAGAAGAUCGAAAGUAAAACAUCAAGAAUAAGAUUUUGAUACCUUUGAUUUGGAUGGUCUUUGAAUAUGCUUUGGAAAUCUGAAAUCGAUUUGGAGAGAAUGAUAAUUAGGGUUAAAUGUUAGAAUGAAACUUAUGUUGAGGGAAAAACCAUUUUAGUUAUUUUAGUUAAUACAUUUUCCCAAGCAAUGAUUCUUUAGUUGAAACACUUGAUUAUUUUUUAUUGUUUUUUUUUUCUAAUAUUUUAUUAAACCUAAUACCGGAUUAGCAAAUAUGAGUAAUAUUUAAAGUUAUUUUUUGGGUUAAAAUCAUAAAAAAAAACUUAUAUACCUUAUUGUGUUUAUUA